GGUUGCGAAAGGGACUGGAGGUGGGCUUUACGGCGCUGGUCGAGACUAUCUGGAGCAAGCGCCGCAUCGUCGAGGUUUAUCUCAACAUCGCCGAAUUCGACGAGGGCGUCUUCGGUGCGCAGGCAGCGGCGCUGCAUUAUUUUGGCCGCGAUGCGGCGAUCCUGUCGCUCGAUCAGGCGGCGCGGCUGGCGACGGUACUGCCCGACCCCAAGGGCCGCGAUCCGCAACGCGCCACCGCCUUCAUGAACCGCCGCGCCGCAUCGAUUGCCGAUGGGGCAAGGACGCUGGAGGGCGAGGGGCGAGCAGGGUGUUUGGAGUGACCAGGGUC
rnacentral:rRNA from 1 species